CAGCAGCCGCGGUAAUACGUAGGGUGCGAGCGUUAAUCGGAAUUACUGGGCGUAAAGCGUGCGCAGGCGGCUUUGCAAGACAGAGGUGAAAUCCCCGGGCUCAACCUGGGAACUGCCUUUGUGACUGCAAGGCUAGAGUACGGCAGAGGGGGAAGGAAUUCCGCGUGUAGCAGUGAAAUGCGUAGAUAUGCGGAGGAACACCGAUGGCGAAGGCAAUCCCCUGGGCCUGUACUGACGCUCAUGCACGAAAGCGUGGGGAGCAAACAGGAUUAGAUACCCUGGUAGUCCACGCCCUAAACGAUGUCUACUGGUUGUUGGACGGCUUGCUGUUCAGUAACGAAGCUAACGCGUGAAGUUGACCGCCUGGGGAGUACGGCCGCAAGGUUGAAACUCAAAGAAAUUGACGG
rnacentral:rRNA from 1 species